rnacentral:rRNA from 1 species
GACGAACGCUGGCGGCGUGCUUAACACAUGCAAGUCGAACGGUAAGGCCCUUCGGGGUACACGAGUGGCGAACGGGUGAGUAACACGUGGGUGAUCUGCCCUGCACUUCGGGAUAAGCCUGGAAAACUGGGUCUAAUACCGGAUAGGACCACGCGCUUCAUGGUGUGUGGUGGAAAGCUUUUGCGGUGUGGGAUGGGCCCGCGGCCUAUCAGCUUGUUGGUGGGGUAAUGGCCUACCAAGGCGACGACGGGUAGCCGGCCUGAGAGGGUGUCCGGCCACACUGAGACUGAGAUACGGCCCAGACUCCUACGGGAGGCAGCAGUGGGGAAUAUUGCACAAUGGGCGCAAGCCUGAUGCAGCGACGCCGCGUGAGGGAUGACGGCCUUCGGGUUGUAAACCUCUUUCAGCAGGGACGAAGCGCAAGUGACGGUACCUGUAGAAGAAGCACCGGCCAACUACGUGCCAGCCGCCGCCGUAAGAC